GCACCACGACCCACAGGGUGGUUACCUCCACCAGUUGAACAUGUAAAACUCAACACGGAUGCAGCGGUUGCACGGAACGGUAGAUACGGUGAUGUUGUUGUGGUGUGUCGAUAUUCAAAAGGCAGUUUUGUGGGGGCUUCUUGCAUUACGUUCAGAAAUCUAGCUGAUCCGGAAACUCUCAAGUCGUUGGGAGUCGGAGAGGCUUUAGCACUGGCGAAAGAUUUAUAUGUGCAGAAGAUUCAUGUCGCAUCGGAUUGCAAGACUGUGGUUAACAGAGUUAAACAGGGAUCCUCAGUAUAGUACGGAGCAAUUAUACAUGAAAUCAUAGAGCAUGCUAUGGCUUUUUCUUUAUGUAAUAUUGUUCACGAGUUUAGAACCUCAAAUACCGAGGCUCACAAUCUCGCUAAGAAUGCAUUAUCACUUGGGUUUGGUCCCCAUGUCUGGUUAGGUUAAUCCGGUGAUCUUCUUUUCAUUCCUGUAAACAUUGUCGUGACAUAA
rnacentral:rRNA from 1 species